GCGGCGGCUGGACAAAACAGAUCACCUACAGAUAUUUUAUGCAUGGGGUUUGUAAGGAAGGCGAUAACUGUCGAUACUCUCAUGACCUCUCUGACAGUCCAUACGGUGUAGUGUGCAAGUUUUUUCAAAGAGGGUACUGUGUUUAUGGAGACUGCUGCAGAUAGGAACACAGCAAGCCACUGAAACAGGAAGAAGUGACUGUUACAGAUCUGAGUGCAAAACCAUCCCUCGCUGCUUCCUCAAGUCUCUCUUCUGGUGUUGGAUCACUUGCUGAAAUGAAUUCAGGCGAAGCUGAGUCACAAAACCCAAACUUUCCAACUGGAGGAGCAGGUUCAGAGGACUGAGUGAAUGCCAUUGAGUUUGUCCCUGGGCAGCCCUACUGUGGCCAUACUGCCCCUUCCUGCAUUGAAGUACCCCCCCACCCCACCCCCGCGCAGGGUUCAGUGACCAAGGAAGAGUCAGAGAAGAAGCCAACUAUGAUGGAGACAAAGAAGCAGCUUUGCCCCUAUGAGGAAAAUUGUGUGUAUCUCCACGGAGACUCGUGUGACAUGUAUGGCCUGCAGGUCCUACACCCAGUGGAUGCUGCCCAGAGGUCACAGCACAUAAAAUCUUGCAUUGAGGCCCAUGAGGACAUGGAGCUCUCUUUUGAUGUUCAGCGCAGCAAGGACAUGGUGUGUGGGAUCUGCAUGGAGGUGGUCUAUGAGAAAGCCAACCCCAGCAAGUGUCACUUUGGGAUCCUCUCCAACUGCAACCACACCUACUGUCUCAAGUGUAUUCUCAAGUGGAGAAGUGCUAAACAAUUUGAGAGCAAGAUCAUAAAGUCCUGCCCCAAAUGCCGAAUCACAUCUAACUUUUUCAUUCCAAGUGAGUACUGGGUGGAGGAGAAAGAAGAGAAGCAGAAACUCAUUCAGAAAUACAAGGAGGCCAUGAGCAACAAGGCGUGCAAGUAUUUUGAUGAAGGACGUGGGAGCUGCCCAUUUGAAGGGAACUGUUUUUACAAGCAUGUGUACCCUGAUGGCCAUAGAGAGGAGCCACAGAGACAGAAAGUGGGAACAUUAAGCAGAUACCGGGCCCAACAAAGGAGCCACUUCUGGGAGCUCAUUGAGGAGAGAGAGAACAACCCCUUUGACAAUGAGGAAGAGCAGGUUGUCACCUUUGAGCUGGGUGAGAUGUUGCUUAUGCUUUUGGCUGCAGGUGGGGACGACGAGGUGACAGACUCUGAGGAUGAGUGGGACUUGUUUCACGAUGAGCUGGAGGACUUUUAUGACUUGGAUCUAUAGCAGUGUUGAGUGGUGUGGGCACUGGUCUGCAGAGCCUCAGACAGUAGCUGUCCCCUGUGCUGUGUGGCAGUGCAUGUGGCUCUCCUAGGCAGGCCUCUCAAACUCCAGGUGCUGCGAUCACUACCCAGGGCCUGUUCCUUUACCCUCACCUUCCCCCCAAGAGUGUGUUGCUUUCUCUGUUUCAAAAGUUACAAAAAUAAAUCUUA